UCGUCACACUAUCAUUAACUGAAUCCAUAGGUUAAUGAGGCGAACCGGGGGAACUGAAACAUCUAAGUACCCCGAGGAAAAGAAAUCAACCGAGAUUCCCCCAGUAGCGGCGAGCGAACGGGGAGGAGCCCAGAGCCUGAAUCAGCAUGUGUGUUAGUGGAAGCGUCUGGAAAGGCGCGCGAUACAGGGUGACAGCCCCGUACACAAAAGCGCAUGUGUUGUGAGCUCGAUGAGUAGGGCGGGACACGUGGUAUCCUGUCUGAAUAUGGGGGGACCAUCCUCCAAGGCUAAAUACUCCUGACUGACCGAUAGUGAACCAGUACCGUGAGGGAAAGGCGAAAAGAACCCCGGCGAGGGGAGUGAAAAAGAACCUGAAACCGUGUACGUACAAGCAGUGGGAGCACCCUUUGGGGUGUGACUGCGUACCUUUUGUAUAAUGGGUCAGCGACUUAUAUUCUGUAGCAAGGUUAACCGAAUAGGGGAGCCGGAGGGAAACCGAGUCUUAAUUGGGCGUUAAGUUGCAGGGUAUAGACCCGAAACCCGGUGAUCUAGCCAUGGGCAGGUUGAAGGUUGGGUAACACUAACUGGAGGACCGAACCGACUAAUGUUGAAAAAUUAGCGGAUGACCUGUGGCUGGGGGUGAAAGGCCAAUCAAACCGGGAGAUAGCUGGUUCUCCCCGAAAGCUAUUUAGGUAGCGCCUCGUGAAUUCAUCUCCGGGGGUAGAGCACUGUUUCGGCUAGGGGGCCAUCCCGGCUUACCAACCCGAUGCAAACUGCGAAUACCGGAGAAUGUUAUCACGGGAGACACACGGCGGGUGCUAACGUCCGUCGUGAAGAGGGAAACAACCCAGACCGCCAGCUAAGGUCCCAAAGUCAUGGUUAAGUGGGAAACGAUGUGGGAAGGCCCAGACAGCCAGGAUGUUGGCUUAGAAGCAGCCAUCAUUUAAAGAAAGCGUAAUAGCUCACUGGUCGAGUCGGCCUGCGCGGAAGAUGUAACGGGGCUAAACCAUGCACCGAAGCUGCGGCAGCGAC
rnacentral:rRNA from 1 species